rnacentral:rRNA from 1 species
UACGUAGGGUGCAAGCGUUGUCCCGAAUUAUUGGGCGUAAAGAGCUCGUAGGCGGUCUGUUGCGUCGGCUGUGAAAACCCGGGGCUCAACCCCGGGCCUGCAGCCGAUACGGGCAGACUAGAGUUCGGCAGGGGAGACUGGAAUUCCUGGUGUAGCGGUGAAAUGCGCAGAUAUCAGGAGGAACACCGGUGGCGAAGGCGGGUCUCUGGGCCGAUACUGACGCUGAGGAGCGAAAGCGUGGGGAGCGAACAGG